rnacentral:rRNA from 1 species
UACAGAGGUCCCGAGCGUUGUCCGGAGUUACUGGGUGUAAAGCGCGUGUAGGCGGCAUACCAAGUCUGUUGUGAAAUCGCCCGGCUCAACUGGGCGGGGCCAAUGGAAACUGGUAAGCUGGAGGACGGUAGAGGCGAGUGGAAUUCCCGGUGUAGUGGUGAAAUGCGUAGAGAUCGGGAGGAACACCUGUGGCGAAGGCGGCUCGCUGGGCCGAUCCUGACGCUGAGACGCGAAGGCGUGGGGAGCGAACGGG